AUUGAACGCUGGCGGCAGGCCUAACACAUGCAAGUCGAACGAGUGGCGGACGGGUGAGUAAUGUCUGGGAAACUGCCUGAUGGAGGGGGAUAACUACUGGAAACGGUAGCUAAUACCGCAUACCAUAAGAUGUGCCCAGAGUGGAGUAGCUUGUUGGUGGGGUAACGGAUCAACAAGGCGACGAGCACUAGCUGGUCUGAGAGGAUGACCCGCCACACUGGAACUGAGACACGGUCCCGCCUCCUACGGGAGGCAGCAGUGGGGAAGAUUGCACAAUGGGCGAGAUCCUGAUGCAGCCAUGCCGCGUGUAUGAGGAAGGCCUUCGGGUUGUAAAGUACUUUCAGCAGGGAGGCGUUACUCGCAGAAGAAGCACCGGCUAACUCCGUGCCAGCAGCCGCGGUAAUUC
rnacentral:rRNA from 1 species